UAUUUUGACUGUGCUAAGGUAGCAUAAUCAUUAGGUUUAUAAUUUAAAUCUAGAAUGAAUGAUUGUAUGAAAAAUAAUCUUUUUUAAUUUUAAAAUUUAAAUUUUAUAUUUUAGUUAAAAAGCUUAAAUAAUUUAAAUAGACGAGAAGACCCUAUAGAAUUUUAUUAAUUUUAUUUUUUUUUUAAAAAAUUAAUUAAUUUAAUUGGGGAGAUUAAUAAAUUUAAUUAACUUUUUAAAAUAAAAUCAAAAAUUAUUGUAUUUUUGAUCUUUUUAUAAUGAUUAAAAAAUUAAAUUACCUUAGGGAUAACAGCAUAAUUUUUUAAAAAAGUUCUUAUUUUUUAAAAAGUUUAUGACCUCGAUGUUGGAUUAAAUAAUUUUUAAUUGAAAAAAAUUAAUUUAAUUAGUCUGUUCGACUAUUAAUAAUUUACAUGAUCUGAGUUCAAACCGGUGUGAGCCAGGUCGGUUUCUAUCU
rnacentral:rRNA from 1 species